GCCCGCCUAGCUCAAUCGGAUAGAGCGUCAGACUCUUAUGUUAAGCGGGCGAUCUGAAGGCUGCGAGUUCGACCCUCGCGGUGGGCU
rnacentral:tRNA from 1 species